AUACGAGAGGCAGCAGUCGCGAAUCUUCCUCAAUCGACCAAAGUCGCACGCCGCAUCGCCGCGUGAUUGAUGAAGUGUUUCGGAUGGUAAAGCUCUGUUGUUAGGGAAGAACAAGUACCGUUCGAAUACCCCGGUACCUUGCUCCCACCCAACCCGAAAGCCACGGCUAACCGGCUUUCAGCAGCCAGCGGUAAUACGUAGGGCGCAAGCGUUAUCCGGAAUUAUUGGGCAUCCCGCGCCCCUAGGCCGUUUUUUUUGUCUGGGGUGAAAGCCCAGGGAUCAACCCCUGAGCGUCAUUGGAAGUUGUGAAACUUGAGUACAGAAGAUGAACGUGGAAUUCCAUUUGUCGCUGGUAAUUGCGCAGAGAUACAGAGGAACACCAGUGCGAAGGGGACUUCCUGGUCUUUAACUGACGCUGAUGUGCGAAAGCGUGGGGAUCAAACAGGAUUUGAAACAGUGGUAGUCCCCUCCGUAAAAAAAAAGCGCUAAGCGUUCGGGGGCCUCCGCCCAUUCGGGCUGCAGCUAACGCAUUAAGCACUCCCCGUGGGGAGUUCGGUCGCAAGACUGAAGCUCAAAGGAAUGGGCGGGGGCCCGCACAACCGGUGGAGCAUGUGGUUUGAUUUUACCCAACAACAAGGUCCUAAGAUCCUAAAGACUUCAUCAGACAUUCGUAGAGAUAGGAUGUCCCUUUCGGGCGCAGAGGAACAUGUGGUGCAUGGCGUCGUCAGCUC
rnacentral:rRNA from 1 species